GACGAACGCUGGCGGCGUGCUUAACACAUGCAAGUCGAACGGAAAGGCCCUGCUUUUGUGGGGUGCUCGAGUGGCGAACGGGUGAGUAACACGUGAGUAACCUGCCCUUGACUUUGGGAUAACUUCAGGAAACUGGGGCUAAUACCGGAUAGGAGCUCCUGCUGCAUGGUGGGGGUUGGAAAGUUUCGGCGGUUGGGGAUGGACUCGCGGCUUAUCAGCUUGUUGGUGGGGUAGUGGCUUACCAAGGCUUUGACGGGUAGCCGGCCUGAGAGGGUGACCGGCCACAUUGGGACUGAGAUACGGCCCAGACUCCUACGGGAGGCAGCAGUGGGGAAUAUUGCACAAUGGGCGGAAGCCUGAUGCAGCAACGCCGCGUGCGGGAUAACGGCCUUCGGGUUGUAAACCGCUUUCGCCUGUGACGAAGCGUGAGUGACGGUAAUGUGUAAAGAAGCACCGGCUAACUACGUG
rnacentral:rRNA from 1 species